rnacentral:rRNA from 1 species
CCUACGGGUGGCUGCAGUGGGGAAUUUUGCGCAAUGGGGGAAACCCUGACGCAGCAACGCCGCGUGGAGGAUGAAAUAUCUUGGUAUGUAAACUCCUUUCGAUGGGGAAGAUUAUGACGGUAGCGGGAGAAGAAGCCCCGGCUAACUUCGUGCCAGCAGCCGCGGUAAUACGAAGGGGGCUAGCGUUGCUCGGAAUGACUGGGCGUAAAGGGCGCGUAGGCGGCGGCCCAAGUCGAGUGUGAAAGCCCCGGGCUCAACCUGGGAGGUGCGCUCGAGACUGGUUUGCUGGAGUUCGGGAGAGGAGCGUGGAAUUCCCAGUGUAGCGGUGAAAUGCGUAGAUAUCAGGAGGAACACCGGUGGCGAAGGCGGCGACCUGGUCCUAUACUGACACUCAUACACGAAAGCGUGGGGAUCAAACAGGAUUAGAUACCCCAGUAGUC